GUGGGCUAUAGUCCAUGCGGUCACAGAAGAGUUAGACACGACUUAGUGAGUAAACAACAAUAACCGAAAAUAAUAGCCUCUUUCUGUUCUAUUUCCAGGCUCUAUCCUACCAGAGCGUUUAUCUACCCAACAACUGGGCUGGGGGAGUAGUAGUGUCUCCAUAGCAUAAACGAGGAAACUGUGAUUCAGAGAGGCUAAGUAAACUGCCUGAUGCCACACAGCAACAUGCAGUGAUGAAUAUGAGUUUCAAACUUGGAUUUGUCUGGCUCCAAAAUCUCUGUCUUCUAUAACAGUAAAACAAAGGAGGAGAAGAACGAGAGGUGGUACGCCUAGAUGGCCAGGUAAAAAUGGAGCACUGACAAGCAAGCCCCAAGGAAAUGUGUAACCUCCACAGGAUGUUUUAUUAUUGGCUUGGGAGGAAGUGAUGAGAAAUUGAAGUACAGAGAUGUUUUUUUGUCCUAUGUGACUAUGGCCAUCCCAGUGCUGGUAAUGAUGGGGUGAAGGUGUAUUCUCAACAGGUAGACUCCAGGGCCUGCCCCACUUCUGUGGAAGUGAUCCUGGCACAGUGAAGCCAUACGAACUGGCAGAGGCUUCGGAUCAGCCAUACCACAAAGGAUGCUGCUUUUCCUAGCAGGGGCCCUAGGGAAUUUUCUGAAAGAACCAGGACUUGACACUGAUACAGGGAAGUUUUGUAUACCCUGAGGUCUUAUCAGUAAGAGAAAUAACUAAAUAGGGCUGAAUAAAGUGAUCGCAUUGGUCCUCUUCUACUCCA
rnacentral:lncRNA from 1 species